rnacentral:rRNA from 1 species
GACAGAGGGUGCAAACGUUGUUCGGAAUUACUGGGCGUAAAGCGCGUGUAGGCGGCUCUGCAAGUCGGAUGUGAAAGCCCUCGGCUCAACCGAGGAAGUGCACCCGAAACUGCAGAGCUAGAGUCUCGGAGAGGAUCGUGGAAUUCUCGGUGUAGAGGUGAAAUUCGUAGAUAUCGAGAGGAACACCGGUGGCGAAGGCGGCGA